rnacentral:lncRNA from 10 species
GUCCGGAAGUUCAUGACCAGCCUGGGCAACAUAGUGAGAAACCAUCUCUGCAAAAAGUAAAAAAAUUAGCCAGAUGUGGUGGUGCACACUUGUAGUCCCAGCUACUCCGGAGGCUGAGGCGGGAGAAUUGCUGAGCCUGGGAGGUCGAGCCUGCAGUGAGCUGUGACUAUACCACUGCACCCCAGCCUGACAUGGCUGGGCAAGGUGGCUCAUGCCUGUAAUCCAAGCACUUUGGGAGGCAGAGGUGGGAAGAUCACUUGAGCCUAGGAGUUCGAGACCAGCCUGGACAAUAUAGUGAGACCCUAUCUCUAAAAAAAAAAACAAAAAAAAGAAAAGAAAAAAAUUACCUAGGUGUGGUGGCACACAUCUGUGGUCCCAGCUAUGCAGAAGGCUGAGGUGGGAUAGUUGCUUGAGCCUGGAGGCCCAGGUUGCAGUAAGCCAUAAUCACGCCACUGCACUUCAGUGUGACAGAGCCAGACCCUGUCAAAAAUUUUUUUAAAAGGAGUCCUGAGUGGUGAGUGGCCCUCACACUGCAUGACACAGCUAUGUCUACGUCUCCGUGUGGCUCCAGCUUUCUAGAACACAUCAAGCUUCCCUGACCCAUGCCAUGCCCUCUGGCCUCUGGCCCUUCACUGAAUGCUAUUCCCUCUUCUUCUUGAGAUGGAGUCUCGCUCUGUCGCCCAGGCUGGAGUGAUGUGGCGCGAUCUCUCUUCGCCUGCUGGGUUCAAGCAAUUCUCCAGCCUCAGCCUCCCGAGUAGCUGGGAUUACAGGCACACACCACCAUGCCUAUAUUUUUAGUAGAGAUGGGGUUUCACCAUGUUGGCCAGGCUGGUCAUGAACUCCUGACCUCAGGUGAUCUGCCUGCCUCGGUCUCCCAAAGUGCUGGGAUUACAGGCGUGAGCCACCGUGCCUGGCCUAUUCUCUCUUCUUAGCAUGUUUUCCCCACCUUUUCCUGGCAAUAACCUGUCCUUCAAGUCUUUACUUGGACAUUACCUCCUCCAGGAAACCUUCCCUGAACACCACCCAGCUGCCACCUGCUGUAGUUGGAUUACUCAUUCUCUCACGUAGGUUCCCACAGCAGGUGUCUCCCUCAACCCAACCUGGACGGGGGGCCACCUGGAUUGACAUUCGUCAUCUCUUCCACUGGACCGUGAGCUCCUUGAGGGCAGAUAAGAAAACUGAGGCUCAGAACGGGAAGUUCAUUGCUCAUCAUCAAACAUCCAGGAAAUGGUGGAGCCUGAAUGGGAACUCAGCUUCCAACAUGGCGUGGAUGUGGCCCAUCCCUUGGUGGCCUGGCUGGGUCUAUCUUAUGACAGUACGAGGUGAGUGAACUUGGGAGGAAUUGUUGAGAGCUGGGUGGGGAAAGAAGGGAGGUGUUAGGCUGUGGGGAGUGGAGGGACUUUGAAGAGAAAGAAAUUUCUAACUCUACCUCUUCUCUGGUGACCUUCAUGGUUUGCCAUCUCUGCAUACUUUGAAUGCUUAUUUACUGGAUAGUUUGCUCCAGAUUGUCUUGCUCUGCAAAACUCUUCACUAAAUAAAUUCUUCUGUCUCGGUGCAGUGGUUCACACCUGUAAUCCCAGCACUUUGGAGGGCUGAGGUGGGAGGAUUACUUGAGCUCAGGAAUUAGAGACCAGCCUGGACAACAUAGUGAGACCCCGUCUCUACUAAAAAAAAAAAAAAAAAUCAGCCCAGGCAUGGUCCCAGCUACUCGAAAGGCUGAGGCAAAAGGAUUGUUUGAGCCCAGGAGACUGAGGCUGCAGUGAGCUAUGAUCAUGCCACCAAACUCUAGCCUGGAUGAUAGAGCAAGACCCUAUGUGAAAAAAAGAAAAAAAAAAUUAUAAGGAAACUUCAUGAGACUGUAAGCAGAAAAAAGUGCCAGAAGUCAUAAACAAUAAAAACCAAUGCCUGGGCCAGGCGCGGUGGCUCAUGCCUGUAAUCUCAGCACUUUGGGAGGUCAAGGCGGGCAGAUUGCCUGAGGUCAGGAGUUUGAGGACAGCCUGGCCAACGUGGUGAAACUUGGUCUCUACUGAAAAUACAAAAAUUAGCCGGGCAUGGUGGCAGGCACCUGUAAUACCAGCUACUCAGGAGGCUGAGGCAGGAGAAUCACUUGAACCUGGGAGGCAGAGGUUGCAGUGAGCUGAGAUCGCGCCAUUGCACUCCAGCCUGGGUGACAAGAGCAAGACUUUGUCUCAAAAAAAAAGAAAAACUAAACUAAACUAAACUAAACUAAAACCAAUGACCAUUGAAGGAAGGCUUACCUCGUGCCACACAAUGUUUGAGCACUUUCUGUAUAUUAACUUAUUGAAUCUCUGUAAUAACCCUAGAAAGUAGGUGCUUUUUCUCCCAUUUCAAGGAUGAAGGAACAGGGACAGGGGAAGUAAUGAGCUUAAAGGAAAAUAGCUUGUAGGGACUAGAACUGGGAUUUGAACCCAAGAAGCCAAGAUCCAGAGCUAGUCCCUUAACUACCACACUAUACUGCUUACCCAAAGAAAAAUGAAUUACUUAAAAAAAAUCAACAUUAGUACCAUCUCAGUCAUUGCAAACCAAUCUACCUGUAGCUUGCGUAUAGGAGAGCAGAGGGCCAGGGCCAGGGAUCUCCAGGCUGACUUAGUGCAAAUGCAAUGUUUUGUUACUUUUUAAAAUUCCAGAUUGAAUGUUGGAGUGCCUUGCAGAAGAGAGAGAAAAUGUUGCUAAAACUUCAGGGGAAUGACUGGUCGAAAAUGUUUGACAUUCUUAAACUUGACAGGCCCAGAAACAGAAGGGGCUGGGGACCUGGGCUCCUGGGUCUGAGGGAGGAGGGGUUGGGGCGGGGGGUCUGGACUCUUGGGUCUGAGGAAGGAGGGGCUGGGGGGGAGCCUGGACUCCUGGGUCUGAGGGAGGAGGGGUUGGGGCGGGGGGUCUGGACUCCUGGGUCUGAGGAAGGAGGGGCUGGGGGGGAUCUGGACUCCUGGGCCUGAGGGAGGAGGGGCUGGGGGGAGUCUGGAUUCCUGGGUCUGAGGGAGGAGGGGCUGGCGGCGGGGAGCGGUCUGAACUCCUGGGUCUGAGGGAGGAGGGGCUGGGGGGAGUCUGGACUCCUGGGUCUGAGGAAGGAGGGGCUGGGGGC